GACGAACGCUGGCGGCGUGCCUAAUACAUGCAAGUAGAACGCUGAAGGAGGACCUUGCUUCUCUGGAUGAGUUGCGAACGGGUGAGUAACGCGUAGGUAACCUGCCUGGUAGCGGGGGAUAACUUUUGGAAACGAUAGCUAAUACCGCAUAAGAGUAGAUGUUGCAUGACAUUUGCUGAAAAGGUGCAGUUGCAUCACUACCAGAUGGACCUGUGUUGUAUUAGCUUGUUGGUGGGGUAACGGCUCACCAAGGCGACGAUGCAUAGCCGACCUGAGAGGGGGAUCGGCCGGACUGGGAGUGAGACACGGCACAGUGGGCCUGGGGAAGGAGCAGGAGGGAAUCUUGGGCAAUGGGUGGAAGUCUGACCGAGCUACGCCGCGGGAGGGAGGAAGGUUGUCGGGUGGGAAAGGACGGUUGUAAGGGAAUAACGAGUGUGAGCGUGUAAAGAUCACAGUGUGACGGUAACUUACCAGAAAGCAACGGCUAACUACGUG
rnacentral:rRNA from 1 species